rnacentral:rRNA from 1 species
GACGAACGCUGGCGGCGUGCUUAACACAUGCAAGUCGAACGGUCAGGUCCUUUCGGGGUUACUCAAGUGGGGAACGGGCGAGUAACACUUGAGUAACCUGCCCCCAUCUCUGGUUUAACAGCUGAAAACGGUUCCUAUUCCUGACAACGACUUUGACAGGCAUCCUGAGGGUUGGUAAGUUAUUUUAGGGUUGGGGUUGGACGCGCGGCCUAUCAGCUCGUUGGCGUGGUAGUGGCUCACCAAGGCUUCGACGGGUAGCCGGCGCGCGAGGGCGACCGGGGACAUGGGAACGGAGAUACGGCCCAAAAGCCGACGGGAGGGAGGAGUGGGGAAGAUUUCACAAUGGACGGAAGUAUGGUGCAGCAACGCCGCGUGGGGGAUAACGGCCUUCGGGUUGUAAGCCGCGUUCAAUUGUGAGGAAGCUGUUUUGUGACGGUAGCAGUAGAAGAAGCACCGGCUAACUACGUG